rnacentral:tRNA from 1 species
GCGCUCAUGGCCUAAUGGACAAGGCGUCUGACUUCUAAUCAGGCGACUGGGUGUG